GAUGAACGCUGGCGGCGUGCCUAAUACAUGCAAGUCGAACGCUGGAGAUCUAGCUUGCUAGAUCGAAGGAGUGGCGAACGGGUGAGUAAUAUAUAAGCAACCUACCCACGAAGACUGGGAUAAUCUCUGGAAACGGGGACUAAUACCGGAUAGGUAAUCGGAAGGCAUCUUCUGGUUAUUAAAGGUUAAAAACACUGGUGGAUGGGCUUAUGGCGCAUUAGUUAGUUGGUGAGGUAACGGCCCACCAAGACGAUGAUGCGUAGCCGGCCUGAGAGGGUGAACGGCCACAUUGGGACUGAGACACGGCCCAGACUCCUACGGGAGGCAGCAGUAGGGAAUUUUCGGCAAUGGGGGCAACCCUGACCGAGCAACGCCGCGUGAGUGAAGACGGCCUUCGGGUUGUAAAGCUCUGUUGUAAGGGAAGAACGGUAGAUAGAGAAUAUCUAAGUGACGGUACCUUACCAGAAAGCCACGGCUAACUACGUG
rnacentral:rRNA from 1 species